rnacentral:rRNA from 1 species
CUACGGGUGGCUCCAGUGGGGAAUAUUGCACAAUGGGCGCAAGCCUGAUGCAGCCAUGCCGCGUGUAUGAAGAAGGCCUUCGGGUUGUAAAGUACUUUCAGCGGGGAGGAAGGGAGUAAAGUUAAUACCUUUGCUCAUUGACGUUACCCGCAGAAGAAGCACCGGCUAACUCCGUGCCAGCAGCCGCGGUAAUACGGAGGGUGCAAGCGUUAAUCGGAAUUACUGGGCGUAAAGCGCACGCAGGCGGGUUGUUAAGUCAGAUGUGAAAUCCCCGGGCUCAACCUGGGAACUGCAUCUGAUACUGGCAAGCUUGAGUCUCGUAGAGGGGGGUAGCAUUCCAGGUGUAGCGGUGAAAUGCGUAGAGAUCUGGAGGAAUACCGGUGGCGAAGGCGGCCCCCUGGACGAAGACUGACGCUCAGGUGCGAAAGCGUGGGGGGCAAACAGGAUUAGAUACCCGAGUAGUC